rnacentral:rRNA from 1 species
AUUGAACGCUGGCGGCAGGCCUAACACAUGCAAGUCGAACGAGUGGCGGACGGGUGAGUAAUGUCUGGGAAACUGCCCGAUGGAGGGGGAUAACUACUGGAAACGGUAGCUAAUACCGCAUACCAUCGGAUGUGCCCAGAUGGGAUUAGCUAGUAGGUGGGGUAACGGCUCACCUAGGCGACGAUCCCUAGCUGGUCUGAGAGGAUGACCAGCCAUAAUGGAACUGAGACACGGUGCAGAAUCCAACGGGAGGCAGCAGGGGGAAAUAUUGCAGAAUAGGCGCAAGCCUGAUGCAGCGAUGCGUCGUGUAUGAAGAAGGCCUUCGGGUUGUAAACCGCUUUCAGCCAUGACGCGGUAGUGGCAGAAGAAGCACCGGCUAACUACGUGCCAGCAGCCGCGGUAAUUC